UAACACAUGCAAGUCGAACGGUAACGACGGAAGCUUGCUUCCGGGCGACGAGUGGCGGACGGGUGAGUAACACUUAGGAAUCUGCCCAGUAGUGGGGGACAACCAGGAGAAAUCCUGGCUAAUACCGCAUACGCACUACGGUGGAAAGUGGGGGACCUUCGGGCCUCACGCUAUUGGAUGAGCCUAAGUCGGAUUAUCUUGUUGGUGAGGUAAAGGCUCACCAAGGCGACGAUCCGUAGCUGGUCUGAGAGGACGAUCAGCCACACUGGGACUGAGACACGGCCCAGACUCCUACGGGAGGCAGCAGUGGGGAAUAUUGGACAAUGGGGGCAACCCUGAUCCAGCAAUGCCGCGUGUGUGAAGAAGGCCUGCGGGUUGUAAAGCACUUUCAGUAGAGAAGAAAAGCCUAGGGUUAAUAACCCUGAGUCUUGACGUAACCUACAGAAGAAGCACCGGCUAACUCCGUGCCAGCAGCCGCGGUAAUACGGAGGGUGCGAGCGUUAAUCGGAAUUACUGGGCGUAAAGCGCGCGUAGGCGGUUUUGUAAGUCGGAUGUGAAAGCCCCGGGCUUAACCUGGGAAUUGCAUUCGAUACUGCAUAACUAGAGUACGGUAGAGGGAAGUGGAAUUCCGGGUGUAGCGGUGAAAUGCGUA
rnacentral:rRNA from 1 species